rnacentral:rRNA from 1 species
UACGAAGGGGGCGAGCGUUGUUCGGAAUUACUGGGCGUAAAGCGUGCGCAGGCGGUUCGUUGUGUCGGCGGUGAAAGCCCCGGGCUUAACCUGGGAAUGGCCGUUGAAACUGGCGAACUGGAGUGUGGCAGAGGGGGGUGGAAUUCCGCGUGUAGCAGUGAAAUGCGUAGAGAUGCGGAGGAACACCGAUGGCGAAGGCAGCCCCCUGGGCUGACACUGACGCUCAGGCACGAAAGCGUGGGGAGCAAACAGG